rnacentral:rRNA from 1 species
GACGAACGCUGGCGGCGUGCUUAACACAUGCCAGUCGAACGGAAAGGCCCUGCUUGCAGGGUACUCGAGUGGCGAACGGGUGAGUAACACGUGGGUGAUCUGCCCUGCACUUCGGGAUAAGCCUGGGAAACUGGGUCUAAUACCGGAUAGGAGCCAUUUUUAGUGUGAUGGUUGGAAAGUUUUUUCGGUGUAGGAUGAGCUCGCGGCCUAUCAGCUUGUUGGUGGGGUAAUGGCCUACCAAGGCGGCGACGGGUAGCCGGCCUGAGAGGGUGGACGGCCACAUUGGGACUGAGAUACGGCCCAGACUCCUACGGGAGGCAGCAGUGGGGAAUAUUGCACAAUGGGCGCAAGCCUGAUGCAGCGACGCCGCGUGGAGGAUGACGGCCUUCGGGUUGUAAACUCCUUUCGCUAGGGACGAAGCUUUUUGUGACGGUACCUAGAUAAGAAGCACCGGCUAACUACGUG